AUUGAACGCUGGCGGCAUGCCUUACACAUGCAAGUCGAACGGUAACGGGCCUUCGGGUGCCGACGAGUGGCGAACGGGUGAGUAAUGUAUCGGAACGUACCUUUCAGUGGGGGAUAACGUAGCGAAAGUUACGCUAAUACCGCAUAUUCUGUGAGCAGGAAAGCAGGGGAUCGCAAGACCUUGCGCUGAUUGAGCGGCCGAUAUCAGAUUAGCUAGUUGGUGAGGUAAAGGCUCACCAAGGCGACGAUCUGUAGCGGGUCUGAGAGGAUGAUCCGCCACACUGGAACUGAGACACGGUCCAGACUCCUACGGGAGGCAGCAGUGGGGAAUUUUGGACAAUGGGGGCAACCCUGAUCCAGCCAUGCCGCGUGAGUGAAGAAGGCCUUCGGGUUGUAAAGCUCUUUCGGCCGGGAAGAAAUCGUAUCAGCUAAUACCUGGUGCGGAUGACGGUACCGGCAUAAGAAGCACCGGCUAACUACGUGCCAGCAGCCGCCGUAAUAC
rnacentral:rRNA from 1 species